UACGGAGGAUCCAAGCGUUAUCCGGAAUCAUUGGGUUUAAAGGGUCCGUAGGCGGCCUUAUAAGUCAGUGGUGAAAUCUCACGGCUCAACCGUGAAAUGGCCAUUGAUACUGUAGGGCUUGAAUUAUUGGGAAGUAACUAGAAUAUGUAGUGUAGCGGUGAAAUGCUUAGAUAUUACAUGGAAUACCGAUUGCGAAGGCAGGUUACUACCAAUGGAUUGACGCUGAUGGACGAAAGCGUGGGUAGCGAACAGG
rnacentral:rRNA from 1 species